AAAUUCGGUUAAGUCUUCGUGUUGGAGAAUUAGCAUGUACCAAAUGUUUUUGUAUUUGGUGAGGUCUUAGGGACAAGAGACAUGUAUCAAGUCCCUAUUGUUAGACACCUAAUCAAUAGAACCGACUGAUCAAUGUAUAUUAAGAGUAACACGACGGGAUUCCCAUGUGGAGAUAGAACUGUUGCUUUACCCUUCCGGUUCCCGAUUUUUUUAUUUGUCUGUUUUAUUUUCUG
rnacentral:lncRNA from 1 species